AGAGAUAUAGAGGUUUCUUGCCUGUGUGUCUGUGUUUCCUUUGUAUGUGUGUUUGCCUGUGUUUAUGAGAGAAAGAAAUAAGGGGCAUUCAGGCCUAAACUACCACCCAGUCUAGCUACUGUAACUGCUGCUUGGUUGGCACCUGAGAUAUUCUCCCGGCAAAGAAACUACAGGAUACUAAUCAAGAUGGACUUUUGGUGUGAUCCAGGAAGACACUUCCUCAAUUCUUAUGUUUGCACCAUUUCAUAAAACAUGAAUUACAUAGCUCUAUGCAUUAGAUUAAAAAUACCUGAAGACACUAAACAGAAUUAACACACAUCUGUUUAAAAUAAAGCCAUGUUUCUUGGCUUCGUUAAAACCUUGGAAAGCACACAUCAUGCUUCCUUGAGAAGAUGCAGAUGGAAUUGGUGGCACCACUCUAAUGUAUGAAGCACAUUUCCAUUAAACUAAUUUUAACUCCCUUUGUUAGAAAAAACAUAUUUUAUUUUAUAGCAUUGAGAGUUACCAGAAGUUAGAAAAUGUUACUCUGUGUCCAGAUUUCUUCAGUGUGCACUGAAUGUUUGCGAAACGUAAUCCAGGUGGUCAUAUUACUUAAGUCUUCCAGACCAUGUUUUGUAGAAAGAAAAUUCUCAUAAUGGAGUUAACUUCAAAACUGAUAACACUGAACUCACGUGUUAAUUGGAGAAAAUGAUGAUCUAGUAAGUAUUAUUUUGGAUGUACUGGAUGGGCUCUUCAGAUGUGUUUACACUAUCUCUUCACAUUUCAUAUUUAAAUUUUAUUUUCUCCUUUAGCAUGUUUUCCCAAUCAAGACAAGGUGUUCCCCCACCCCCACCCCGGGCAACCAGCCUUUUUCUUUGCUUACAUGUGUUUUUCUUGUUAUAUUUACUUUUCCCUCUUUGCUUGCUUUUAAAUUUCAAAACAGAAAUCAGAUACACUUUUGAUUUUCUGUCUCAGAUGAACAAAUGCUGUUGAAACGCAAAUAACAUGUGACGUCUGCUCAAGUUAAUGCUACGCAUGUAAAAGAUUUGAACUUGACAGUGCUGGUACAGAUGAAAUGUUUACCAUACAUAAAUCCCAGCCAGAAGUAAUGAAACAUUUCUACAUUGCUUCAUCAGUGUUCUAAAACCUUAUUCUGAGCUGAAUGCCUGUAACAAGUUGGAAGCAAGGUUACCCAUCAUGACUAUUCAUUUAUUGUCUUUCAUAUGGAGUGGUGCAGUAAAAAGUCUUGAAGGCAGUGUUGUAUGAUGCUAUUAUACAAGUGAAAGUGGCAGCUAAUUUAUUUAACUUAGUUUUCUGUAUAUGAUUAAGUUGCAGCUUUAACUAAUUUUUAAACACAGUAAAUUUUGUAUUAAGUACUAACAUGGCAACAGAAAGCUGUCUAUACUUCUAAAAACACAAGUAUCUGUGUGAAAUUAGCCAAAGAUGCAAUAUUUCCACUGCUUAAAUAUGUAACAUAAAAUACACUUGACUAUUUCCAGGUAAUGGUUACAUCAAUGAAAAAACUAAUUGGUUUGAAAGCACAUUGUAUAGGAAAAUAUAUCAUGUAUGUACGUAGACAUCAUCACAUGUGACAAUUCUGCAUGUGUUAAAUUGCAUAUACAGUAUUUAGUGAAGUAAUAGUGGAGAGAUGAGGACAGGGAGCAAUCCUGCAAUAUAGUCUCUAGAUCAAGUUGCACAUUUUAAUUAGAACACAGGUUGGCAACCUACAGUCCUCUA